GACAGAGGGUGCAAACGUUGCUCGGAAUUACUGGGCGUAAAGCGCGUGUAGGCGGACGCGGAAGUCGGGUGUGAAAUCCCUGGGCUCAACCCAGGAACUGCAUCCGAAACUCCGUGUCUAGAGUGUCGGAGAGGGACGUGGAAUUCCUGGUGUAGAGGUGAAAUUCGUAGAUAUCAGGAGGAACACCGGUGGCGAAGGCGACGUCCUGGACGACGACUGACGCUGAGACGCGAAAGCGUGGGGAGCAAACAGG
rnacentral:rRNA from 1 species